rnacentral:rRNA from 1 species
UACGGGGGGGGCAAGCGUUGUUCGGAAUUACUGGGCGUAAAGGGCUCGUAGGCGGCCAACUAAGUCAGACGUGAAAUCCCCGGGCUCAACCCGGGAACUGCGUCCGAGACUGAAAGGCUUGAAUCCGGGAGAGGGAUGUGGAAUUCCAGGUGUAGCGGUGAAAUGCGUAGAUAUCUGGAGGAACAUCGGUGGCGAAGGCGGCAUCCUGGACCGGUAUUGACGCUGAGGCGCGAAAGCCAGGGGAGCAAAGCGGG